ensembl:lncRNA
GGUGCUGAUAAGAGGGUAUGCGUAGGAUUAGGCGACUUUCUCACCACUUGUAUUAUCAGGACAGAGAACAACUGAGUCACAUUAAAUUACAGGGGGAGAAAGAGUCCCAGAAAUUCCACAGCCGGGAGGUUGACUGGCAUCUUGCGUAAGCCUGGAAAGAGGAGGGGUCUAGGAGGUCUGAAAACCCUCCUUAGCCUCAGGCUUCUAUAAUUGACCAAGAUUUUUCAGCUUGUGAUUUGAUCCAGCUAUACCCUGUUAGAGGCACUUGCCCCCAACUGAGACCAAGGCUGGAGUGAAUAAGAAUUAGUCCUUGUGCGUGCCUCCUAAGUUGCUUCAGUUGUGUCUGACUCUGCGACCCUAUGGACUACAUAGUUCCUCUGUCCAUGGGGAUUCUCCAAGCAAGAAUACUAGACCACCUGGGAAGCCUUUACAGUCCUUGCUGCUGCUGCUGCUGCUAAGUCACUUCACUCAUGUCCGACUCUGUGCGACCCCAGAGAUGGUAGCCCACCAGGCUCCCCCGUCCCUGGGAUUCUCCAGGCAAGAACACUGGAGUGGGUUGCCAUUUCCUUCUCCAAUGCGUGAAAGUGAAAAGUGAAAGUGAAGUCGCUCAGUCAUGUCCGACUCCUAGCGACCCCAUAGACUGCAGCCCUUAGGU